GUGGGUGUUGACUGAGUCUCUGCUCUAGUGGGGCUGAUGUGGAUGGGAUGGGAGAGGGAGGCAGGGAUGAGGGCAAGAUUUCACGCAUCAAUUGUAUUUUGUGUAGCGAUGGCUCUUGCUUGGCUUAUUUGCUUCACUUGCAGAGAAAUCAUCGGGGAGCAGCAGCAGGAGGAGAAACUAGCAGACGCGGACCUGGGCAGCCUGGACAUCCUUCAAAGCACAGAUUAACAGUCCUCAGCUUUCUGCCUUCCACAUAACUGGCUGACCAAGAGAAAAGAAGUGGAGGGUCAGCGUCGGCUCACCUCACGUUACGGAAAGCGAGUGAGAGCGACGAGAUUGCAAGCAUUUUGGAUGCCGUCCAGCUGGGAGCGGAGCAGCCGCCACUGUCAAUGAGAUAAGUAUCUGUUUUGGUGAUUGCUCUGCUCACUGCCCACCUGAAUCUAGAUACAAAUGCCCCAUUAGCUGGGACUGGGUUUGUAACAAAAUAUUCCUGACUAGGUGUGGGUUCUGAAGGAGACAAGGUCCCCAUUUUCAGGGGCUGCUCAUUUCUUUGUUCACAAGCGCUGUGUCCUCUGCAGAAAAAGUUGGAUCCAGGAGGUUGAUUCCAGGUGGCGAGUUGCUUGCCUUCCUCCUGUGUUUUUUUUUCUCUCUCCUCCAGUACGUUGGCCAACACACACCCUUUCUCUUUCUGUCCUUGCUUUUCCUUGUGCUGUCUCCCUUCGUACGACACGAGCACGUGUGCUCGGUGUGCAUCCCCACAGGGUAGGUCUCGGGGGCCAUGAUGAAGUAGGAGGGGACGAAAAUUGUGCAAGGUAGCGGGCGCGGGAGUGGAGGGGUGACUGUCAGUGUUAACUUGGUCUCUGUUCAUCAAGUGGGGCAGAUGUAGAUGGGCUGGAAGAGGGAGGCAGGGAUGAGGGCAAGAUUUCAAGCAUCAAUAGAGAUGUGUGUAGUGAUGGCUCAUGCUUGGCUUUUGCAAAUACAUUUCCAAGAGGAAUUUCCCAGGAGCUGUAGCCGGAGGAGAGGUUGGCAGAUGUGGACAUGAGGAAACUGAACAUCCUUCUGAGCAGACACGAACAGUCCUCGGCUUUCUGCUUCCCACGUAACUGGCUUACCAAAGAAAAAGAAGUCACACGUCGGAGUCUACUGCCCUCAUGCGAUGGACAGUGAGUGAGAGCAGCGAGCCUGUGAGCGUUGUUCAUGCCAGGCAAGAGCCGUCCAUCUGGGAGCCGAGCAAAGGCCAUUGUCACUGAGAUAAGUGUCUGGUUCGGUGAUUGCUCUGCUCACAGCUCAGCUCCUGGUAGGGACACCCCAUUAGCAAGGUCUGGGUUUGUAAGAAAAGGUUCCUAACUAGUGGUUAUGAAGGAGACAAGGUCCCCAUUUUCAGGGACUGGUCAUUUCUCUGGGCAGGAGGGGUGUGUCCUCUGCAGCAGAAGGUUCAAUCCAGGGGGAAGACUCCAGCUCUUGAGUAUCUUGACUCCCUCCCAUGUUUUUUCCCCUCUCUCUCUCUCUCUCUCUC